rnacentral:rRNA from 1 species
GAUGAACGCUGGCGGCGUGCCUAAUACAUGCAAGUCGAGCGAACGGACGAGAAGCUUGCUUCUCUGAUGUUAGCGGCGGACGGGUGAGUAACACGUGGAUAACCUACCUAUAAGACUGGGAUAACUUCGGGAAACCGGAGCUAAUACCGGACAAUAUUUUGAACCGCAUGGUUCAAAAGUGAAAGACGGUCUUGCUGUCACUUAUAGAUGGAUCCGCGCUGCAUUAGCUAGUUGGUAAGGUAACGGCUUACCAAGGCAACGAUGCAUAGCCGACCUGAGAGGGUGAUCGGCCACACUGGAACUGAGACACGGUCCAGACUCCUACGGGAGGCAGCAGUAGGGAAUCUUCCGCAAUGGGCGAAAGCCUGACGGAGCAACGCCGCGUGAGUGAUGAAGGUCUUCGGAUCGUAAAACUCUGUUAUUAGGGAAGAACAUAUGUGUAAGUAACUGUGCACAUCUUGACGGUACCUAAUCAGAAAGCCACGGCUAACUACGUG